rnacentral:lncRNA from 1 species
AUUUGCGAAAGUUACCGCAGUGUCUCAGGAUCAUUCUCACGAGCAGCUGUCGGCACUUAGCUUUAGUUUAAGGAAAAUAAAGUGCGUCUGUUGUGAUGGACGGAGAAACACUCGAAUGUUGAGAGAUCUGAACAUCAUAAAUCCAUAAGGAGCUUCAUUCAUCUGCGGACUGAGGUGUGUAAACAUUGUGAGGUCAGAGGAUCAGGGCAGACACGUUCACAGACAGACAGAGACAGACGCAGGUGAGCCGCUCUCAGACAUCAGGAGUGUUUGUCCCGCUCACAGCUUCAGCCAUAA